rnacentral:rRNA from 1 species
UACAGAGGGGGGCAAGCGUUGUUCGGAAUUACUGGGCGUAAAGGGCGCGUAGGCGGCCUGUUAAGUCGAACGUGAAAUCCCCGGGCUCAACCCGGGAACUGCGUCCGAUACUGGCAGGCUUGAAUUCGGGAGAGGGAUGUGGAAUUCCAGGUGUAGCGGUGAAAUGCGUAGAUAUUGGGAGGAACACCAGUGGCGAAGGCGGCUCACUGGACUGGUACUGACGCUGAGGCGCGAAAGCGUGGGGAGCAAACGGG